GACGAACGCUGGCGGCGUGCUUAACACAUGCAAGUCGAACGGUAAGGCCCUUCGGGGUACACGAGUGGCGAACGGGUGAGUAACACGUGGGUGAUCUGCCCUGCACUUCGGGAUAAGCCUGGGAAACUGGGUCUAAUACCGGAUAGGACCACUGCCUGCAUGGGUGGUGGUGGAAAGCUUUUGCGGUGUGGGAUGGGCCCGCGGCCUAUCAGCUCGUUGGUGGGGUGAUGGCCUACCAAGGCGACGACGGGUAGCCGGCCUGAGAGGGUGACCGGCCACACUGGGACUGAGAUACGGCCCAGACUCCCACGGGAGGCAGCAGUGGGGAAUAUUGCACAAUGGGCGCAAGCCUGAUGCAGCGACGCCGCGUGAGGGAUGACGGCCUUCGGGUUGUAAACCUCUUUCAGCACCGACGAAGCGCAAGUGACGGUAGGUGCAGAAGAAGGACCGGCCAACUACGUGCCAGCAGCCGCAGUAA
rnacentral:rRNA from 1 species